UCUGAAUCAGGCUCACCUCUCACCUGUCUUUAUAACACGAGUCAAAUGUCAGAUUUUGAAAUGCUGCAGUUUAUAAUGCAGUUUAAGAACAAGGCCAAAUACCUUGGUCCUAUCAUCUGUUUGACGAGAGGUCUUCAGUUGCAGAACUCAUGGUCCUAUAGUUCACAUUAAAUAAUGAAACCGUGAUGAAGAUGAUGCACUCUUCUGGACACCGGAGGGAAAAACCUUUUCUGCCCAGCUUGUAAUGCCUAGCCACAAUCAUCAACUGUGCUCUGGCAGCUUAGCAGUGCUAUGAAAUACAGGCAUACCUCUUGAGAUAUAGUGGGUUUGGUUCCAGUCCACUGCAAUAAAGUGAA